AGUGGAAUAUCUGGGUCAAAUGGUGGUUCCAUUCCAGUUUUCUAAGGAAUUUCCAUAAUGAUUUCCAGACUGGCUGUAUCAAUUUGCAGUCCCAACAGCAAU
rnacentral:pre_miRNA from 1 species